UUGCCAAGAAGGUCUUCAUUAAUCAAGAACGAAAGUCAGAGGUUCGAAGGCGAUCAGAUACCGCCCUAGUUCUGACCGUAAACGAUGCCAACUAGCGAUCUGCCGGCGGAAUUUUCGCCCUGGUAGGGAGCUUCCCGGAAACGAAAGUCUUCCGGUUCCGGGGGAAGUAUGGUUGCAAAGCUGAAACUUAAAGGAAUUGACGGAAGGGCACCACCAGGAGUGGAGCCUGCGGCUUAAUUUGACUCAACACGGGGAAACUCACCCGGCCCGGACACCAUAAGGAUUGACAGAUUGAUAGCUUUUUCAUGAUUUGGUGGAUGGUGGUGCAUGGCCGUUCUUAGUUCGUGGAGCGAUUUGUCUGGUUUAUUCCGAUAACGAGCGAGACUCUAGCCUACUAAAUAGUCUGCACAUUGCUUCUGUGAUGCAGUACUUCUUAGAGGGAUUUUCGGUGUACAGCCGCACGAGAUUGAGCAAUAACAGGUCUGUGAUGCCCUUAGAUGUCCGGGGCUGCACGCGCGCUACACUGGCGAAAUCAGCGUGCUUGUCCUUGCUCGAAAGAGCUUGGUAAACCAAUGAAAAUUUGCCGUGAUUGGGAUCGGAAAUUGCAAUUAUUUUCCGUGAACGAGGAAUUCCAAGUAAAUGCGAGUCAUCAACUCGCGUUGAUUACGUCCCUGCCCUUUGUACACACCGCCCGUCGCUGCCCGGGACUGAGCCAUUUCGAGAAAUUCGGGGAUUGCCGAUUAGCGGUCUUUCGGGAUU
rnacentral:rRNA from 1 species